CUACUACAUGUCGAGUAUAUAUCUACAUAUAUAUAGGAGGCGGCAACCAUGAGGGCAGAUUCAUGGUUGCCUAUAAAUAUGGCCUUAGGAAAUCGUUUUUUAGAAACGUGAGGGAAAGAGCGCAUCAUGGCUGUGAGGUGAAAAAAAAUAUAUUUUGCGUGAAAUUUGUUAGCUUCAACAAGUUAACACAUAACGAGUUUGGGAUGUGAAAUUUUAUUUUGUGACUGUUCUAAAAUUUGUGUUUUUUUGACAAUAAAAUUUCGAGUGUUGUUUGGUUAUCAAAUUCUUUUCUUUUGGCAAUUACAACAAAUUUAAAUUGGCAACAUAUAUUCAUCUUCCUACAUAUACAUACCCUUUAAUCUUCUCCUCUAAUCGUUUUGGAGAACUGUUCUCUUGGCAAGAACCAUACUGCUUUUCUUUGUAUUAGGACUUUCAUUUUUGUGGUGAAUGCUUUCCUGGCCUCAUAACAGCUAUAUUGCAAAUAAAAAUGUUGGCUUGAUAACGCAAAUUUAAAUAUCUUUUAGCAUUCCUUGGGAGGUAAAUUAAGUAGUUCACGACAAUGAAUACAAGCAUAAUCAUAUCAUCUGCAUCCAGUAUCUGCAUAUAUAACAUAUACAUAUGUAUAUAUAUACAUAUAUUAGGAUUAUCAGUUAGUCCAUUCUCUGUGCAAUGUAGGAGUAGCAGUCGAGUUAGGUAAUAGUUUUCAAUCUUUCAUGAUUAUGUUCUAGUACUUUUUUUGUUAUAUAUGUGACAUACACACACACAAGUGUAUAUAUAUGUCUCAUAUAUAUGCCACAUUCAUGAUUCAUUAAUUAGGAAAUUUGAGAAGAAAUAGAGUAAGAAUUCAACCAAAAUGGGGAGUGGUAUUCAUGAAAAAAGGAUCUGUUAAAUAUUUCAAAUACUACAUAUUCCAUGUUCUUUCUUGAACAUGAUCAUUCUCAUGCUAUAAAGUAUUUUUAAGAGAAAAAUAUUCAGAAUGACAUGAAAUGCAGUAGUUCAAUACAAUUGAUGUUGCAGCAUGAGCAUGAGCUGCAUGGAGUACUUGUCACUAAUUUGUUCUGCUUGAGGUGCAAUAUGCAUGAAUGAGUCUGUGCAUUUUUUUAAAAAAGAAAAAAAGAAUGUAUGUAUGAGUGCAUUCAUACCAACGGGUUUUUCUUUUUUUUUUUUUUGGAAGCAUGAAUACAUUUUUAUGUGUUCUCUUGUUUGUUAAGUAGAUUAAAUUUUAGGGGAUGAAGCAAGGUGUAUUUAAAAAUUUGGAAACCAUUGAAAGCUGGAUCUUUUCUCUUACUUAUUUUUUUGUGCAUGGCUGCUGCAGCUUUAUUUGGAUUAGCUUGUACAAAGCAAAAUGGGAGGUGGAUUUAGAGUGCUUCAUCUUGUCAGACCAUUUCUUUCGUUUCUGCCCGAAGUUCAAAGUGC
rnacentral:lncRNA from 1 species